GAUGUCGGCUGGCAUCGGUCGCACCGCCCCGCGUCCCGGCGGGCUGCGGCGUGGGCUGCUCCGUGGAUUCCUUUCCUCUCUCUAAGUGGGAGUUUCUGUGACUGGUGUGCCAUCACAGGAGUCCACCUGUGCCAGAUGUCCUGCACCUUCUGGGAAAGGGAGGACUAGAGAAGGAAAAGCAAGACAGCUUUUCCAAACACCCAGACAGCACAUUGCUAUCAUGACAGAACACAAAGCAUCCCUGCAGGAUAGGGGUGAAGACUCCUUGCUGACCAAAACCUUUCCAGACCUACUCCUGCUGGCUUUAGAGAUGGAGAGUGCUUUAGGCAGGCACUGAGAGAGCAGUGAGGAUCCUCCUGUAAAGGGGCUGUCACUGCCAGGACACUGAUUGAGGAGGAGUUUACAUAGUCUACAUCUAUUUAUGUUGCUUUUCUCCCACUGCUGUUUGCCAGAUAUUCCUCAUCUUUUUCACAGGAAUAAUCCAUUUGGUUUCUUCGUAGUUAGAGGUGUACAAAAUUAAGGAAUAAUUUUAAUUAGUUUCAUUCUUUUGGUUUGGUUUGGGUUUUUUUCCCCAGCAAAAUUUUUAGGAUCUUUUAUUUGCUGAUACCUGCUAUGCCUCCUCAGGUCUGACCAGCUGGGGUCAGUCAGUCAGUGAGUGAGAAAAAAAAUAAAUGAAAAUGUGAACUUCAAAUGUAGAGCCUGAGUUCUUGCGGUCAAAGGUACACUGAUUGUAUCAGAAGAAAUUAUUUCAUCUAUGAAGAAGUAGAAAGUAAAUAAGGAUAUAGAGAUACCCAAGAGUAGACAAUGAAAGUUCUUAUAACUACUCAAAGAAACUGUGGAAAAUACAACUUUGGUGGAGAACUGGCUCCAAGUCAUGUCAGGAAAAGAGAAUCUCUGGGACAGCUGUAUUCUGCCUUGCCCUGUUACUCCACCUGAACUGUGCCUGGAAACUGUAAUUUUUGCCUCCGUUUCAGUGAGAAGUGUCAUGUUCCAGCAUGGUGAGAUCAGAUACUCUGGGAAGGGCAGAACAUUGCUCAGCUGAGCCAUCACAGCCAUAUGGCUUUGAAGAUCAGCGAUCAGAAGUCAGUCAUCUCUGUGCUUGGUAUGGGGAUGCAGGUAGAUGCCAUUCACAGUACCAGGAGGUAUGAAAGUGCCUGAUGUACUAGUCUUGUGUGAAGACUGCUCCUUGUCUCAGACCCUGAUGCCACUGGAGAUGAGUGAUGGCAAUGUUAAAGGUGAAAAGCCCAUGGACACUCCAAAAGAACUGUGGAUGACAGUGGGUCACCUGUACCACAGUGCUUCCCAGCAGGCAAAAUGUCUCUUCCAGCCUUGGUGAGUCUGUGAUUCUGUGAAAACAAACUCAAAGCUGAAGUGACAACUGAGAUAGUGUGGUCCUCCAUUUUAAUGGCUUCAAACAUGGCCUCAACCUUACCAGAACCAGAGUUUGGACCAAGAGAUACUAUUAUUAAAUCUCAGCUUAUAUAAAUGGAGGAUUCCUACCCACACAUCCAGAGCUUCAGAGAGUCUCUUCCAAAAGAACUCUGCCCAAGCUGACAGAGAUGUAUGAACGCGUGUUCCAGAAACCACCAGCCUGUCACUCGGACUUUUCUCACCUGGCUCGUCUUGUGACUGGAAAUGCCAUUGUGCUGGUGUUGGGCGUGGAGGAGCAAGGGGAUACUUCCAAAUGGGAGUUAUCAGAGAACUGAUUGAAGCUGGCAUCCCUGUUGAUAUGAUCAGAGGAACAUCUGUUGGUGCUUUCAUGAGUGCCUUGUAUGCCAAAGAGCAAAGCUACAAUCAGGUGAGGAUCAACCCCAGGCCAUGGUCCAUGGUUAUGAAUUCAGUGUUUAAGACUAUUCUAGACUUGACAUAUUGAAUAACCUCUGUGUUAUCUGAAGCAGCUUUUUUAACAACAACAACAUCUUCAAAGAUAAGCAGAGGAUAUGUGGAUUCCUUAUUUCACCAUCACACCCAACAUCACUGCCUCAGCAAUUAUGACCACACAGAUGGCUCUCUGUGGAGGCAUGCCUGUGCCAGCAUAUCCCUCUCCGGGCAUACUCCUCCUCUCUGUGACCCAAAGGAUGGGUGUCUCCUGAUGGAUGGAGGUUGUAUCAGCAAUCUUCCUGCUGACAUUACGAAGUCCAUGGGUGCAAAGGUGGUGAUUGUGAUAGACGUGGGGAGCAGGAAUGAGACAGACCUCACCAACUACAGUGACUGCUUGUCGGGCUGGUGGCUGCUCUGGAAUAAGUGGAAUCCACUGGCCAAGGAAGUCAAGGUGCUGAAUAUGGCUGACAUCCAGACUUGGCCCACAUAUCUGCACUGCCUGUGGCAGCUGGAGAUGAUAAAGAACAGUGAUUACUGUGAGAAUAUCCAGCUGUCCAUUGACUGACACAAAACUCUGGAGCUCGGGAAGCUCAAUGAAAUCUGUGACAUGGGAUAUCAGCACAAGAAAACAGUAUUUAAUAUCUGGCGCAGGAGUGAAGUCCUUGACAAGAUGCUAACAGACAGG